UGCAAGUCGAACGGUAACGCGGGGCAACCUGGCGACGAGUGGCGAACGGGUGAGUAAUACAUCGGAACGUGCCCAGUAGUGGGGGAUAGCCCGGCGGAAGCCGGAUUAAUACCGCAUACGACCUACGGGUGAAAGCGGGGGAGCGCAAGACCUCGCGCUAUUGGAGCGGCCGGUGUCAGAUUAGCUAGUUGGUGGGGUAAAAGCCUACCAAGGCGACGAUCUGUAGCUGGUCUGAGAGGACGACCAGCCACACUGGGACUGAGACACGGCCCAGACUCCUACGGGAGGCAGCAGUGGGGAAUUUUGGACAAUGGGGGCAACCCUGAUCCAGCCAUGCCGCGUGCGGGAAGAAGGCCUUCGGGUUGUAAACCGCUUUUGUCAGGGAAGAAACGGUCUGCGCUAAUACCGCGGACUAAUGACGGUACCUGAAGAAUAAGCACCGGCUAACUACGUGCCAGCAGCCGCGGUAAUACGUAGGGUGCAAGCGUUAAUCGGAAUUACUGGGCGUAAAGCGUGCGCAGGCGGCUUUGCAAGACAGAUGUGAAAUCCCCGGGCUCAACCUGGGAACUGCAUUUGUGACUGCAUGGCUAGAGUGCGGCAGAGGGGGAUGGAAUUCCGCGUGUAGCAGUGAAAUGCGUAGAUAUGCGGAGGAACACCGAUGGCGAAGGCAAUCCCCUGGGCCUGCACUGACGCUCAUGCACGAAAGCGUGGGGAGCAAACAGGAUUAGAUACCUUGGUAGUCCACGCCCUAAACGAUGUCAACUGGUUGUUGGACGGCUUGCUGUUCAGUAACGAAGCUAACGCGUGAAGUUGACCGCCUGGGGAGUACGGCCGCAAGGUUGAAACUCAAAGGAAUUGACGGGGACCCACACAAGCGGUGGAUGAUGUGGUUUAAUUCGAUGCAACGCGAAAAACCUUACCUACCCUUGACAUGCCAGGAACUUGCCAGAGAUGGCUUGGUGCUCGAAAGAGAACCUGGACACAGGUGCUGCAUGGCCGUCGUCAGCUCGUGUCGUGAGAUGUUGGGUUAAGUCCCGCAACGAGCGCAACCCUUAUCAUUAGUUGCUACGCAAGGGCACUCUAAUGAGACUGCCGGUGACAAACCGGAGGAAGGUGGGGAUGACGUCAGGUCAUCAUGGCCCUUAUGGGUAGGGCUACACACGUCAUACAAUGGCCGGUACAGAGGGCUGCCAACCCGCGAGGGGGAGCUAAUCUCAGAAAACCGGUCGUAGUCCGGAUCGCAGUCUGCAACUCGACUGCGUGAAGUCGGAAUCGCUAGUAAUCGCGGAUCAGCUUGCCGCGGUGAAUACGUUCCCGGGUCUUGUACACACCGCCCGUCACACCAUGGGAGCGGGUUCUGCCAGAAGUAGUUAGCCUAA
rnacentral:rRNA from 1 species